AAGACUAUAGACCUGCGGAGUACCUGCGGAGGGAUCAUUACAUGGCGGAGGAGGUGGGCACCUAGUAAAAACAAAACCCUAGGUGUGUUGCCUACCACGCUUUCUACCCUUGUCUAUUUGCACCUUUUGUCGUUCCCUCGGUGGGUCUUGAACCUGCCGGCGGCAACUUUCAAAAACCUUUUGUAGUUAGUAUCUAAUUCUUCUGAUCAAAUAUUCAAUCGUUACAACUUUCAACAACGG
rnacentral:misc_RNA from 1 species